GACGAACGCUGGCGGCGUGCCUAAUACAUGCAGGUCGAACGCUUCUUUCCUCCCGAGUGCUUGCACUCAAUUGGAAAGAGGAGGGGCGGACGGGUGAGUAACACGUGGGUAACCUACCCAUCAGAGGGGGAUAACACUUGGAAACAGGUGCUAAUACCGCAUAACAGUUUAUGCCGCAUGGCAUAAGAGUGAAAGGCGCUUUCGGGGGUCGCUGAUGGAUGGACCCGCGGUGCAUUAGCUAGUUGGUGAGGUAACGGCGCUCCAAGGCCACGAUGCAUAGCCGGCCUGAGGGGGUGGUCGGCCACCCUGGGACUGAGACACGGCCCCGACUCCCCCGGGAGGCAGCAGUAGGGAAUCUUCGGCAAUGGACGAAAGGCUGACCGAGCAAAGCCGCGUGAGUGAAGAAGGUUUUCGGAUCGUAAAACUCUGUUGUUAGAGAAGAACAAGGACGUUAGUAACUGAACGUCCCCUGACGGUAUCUAAACAAAAAGCCACGGCUAACUACGUG
rnacentral:rRNA from 1 species